CACAUGCAAGUUGAACGAAGUACCUCGAGUUUACCCUUGGUAACUUAGUAGCGGACGGGUGAGUAACGCGUGAGUAACCUACCUUUGUGAGGGGGACAACAGCUGGAAACGGCUGCUAAUACCGCAUAAGGCCACAGUGUCGAAUGACACAGUGGUAAAAGAAUCUAAUCACACAAAGACGGACUCGCGUCCCAUUAGCUAGUUGGUAAGGUAACGGCUUACCAAGGCGACGAUGGGUAGCCGACCUGAGAGGGUGAUCGGCCACACUGGGACUGAGACACGGUCCAGACUCCUACGGGAGGCAGCAGUGGGGAAUAUUGGGCAAUGGGCGAAAGCCUGACCCAGCAACGCCGCGUGAGGGAAGAAUGUCUUCGGAUUGUAAACCUCUGUCCUUGGGGACGAAAAAAAUGACGGUACCCAAGGAGGAAGCUCCGGCUAACUACGUGCCAGCAGCCGCGGUAAUACGUAGGGAGCAAGCGUUGUCCGAAAUAUUGGGCGUAAAGGGUGCGUAGGCGGUUACCAAGUCAGAUGUGAAAUCCCCGGCUUAACCCGGGACGGGCAUUUGAAACUGGUAAACUUGAUUAAAGAAAAGGUAAGUGGAAUUCCU
rnacentral:rRNA from 1 species